ensembl:misc_RNA Y_RNA Y RNA
GGCUGGUCCGAAGGUAGUGAGUUAUCUCACGUGAUUGUACACAGUCAGUUACAGAGUGAACUCCUUGUUCUACUACUUUCCCCCCUCCUCACUACUGCACUUGACUAGUCUUAA